UUCCAUUUGAUUCCGGAAGUUAUCCACCUCAUUCCCUUUCUGCAAAGUGGAACACCCCCCUCUCUUUAAAUCUCAGAUACAAUUUUUGUCUGUGGUGUCCUAAACCAGAACAAUAUUUACAUAUUUAAAUACUUCAUUACGUAUUUAACCCGCAAGAAAUGUGGGUUAGUUGCAGACCAUCUCACAAUUGUAAAAUGCAUCCCUAAUUUCUCCUACAAGGACCCAUGAUUUGGUUUCAAGCACAUUUAUAUACACACAUCCACGUUUAACCACCUAAGCCAGGAUGUUUUUUUAAACAUUGACCUUUAAGUGCCAAGAAAAGUGCAUGCGAUGAAAGAUUGAAAAUACUAAUAAGUAAAUGUCCCUUUCAGUGUAAUGCUGUCCCGCCCAGGCCAGAUGAUACACACUGCAUGAAUAAAAGCCAACACUGACCCACUGCAUCUUUAGGAUCACCCUCAUUCAGUCCAGAGAUGCUUUUACUCAAAAUUAUAGGCUUUGACAAUUACUCUGAAAUUGCAGUGAGGUUUUAAUGUGUACAAGUAGGUUGGAAAUUAUGAGUAGGAAGGAAGUAUAUUGAAAAAAACAGUGUCACUAUUGGUUAUAUUAAGCCAAAAACAACUCGCUAAGAAAGCGUGCAAUUUGGAGUACGGUAGUUGUUGAACUACUGGUUUUGAACUUGAGCCAGCUUGAGAGAGCGGCCUUGCUCCCCUCUGCUAUCACUCCAUGGAGUGGUGUCUCUAUGGAGCUACUGAGCAGAGAAUGUUUUCAAUCAGACCUCAAGUUAAAAUCAACUUCAAGAGCAGGUUUGGCUCUUGAAGAAAAACAGCAGAAACCUGUGGAGACACCUUUUUGGAGUACAUAUAUUGGGAAGGCCAGAGCGAUGGCAAGGCCUUUGCAAGGGGCAUGGGUGCCCAGUUUGUUCCAUUUCCUGGUGAGGCUGACUGAAUGUCAGUGCAAUGCCAGUACAAGCUGGUAUCUGCAGCUUGGGCUGUGGCCAUCCACCCUCCUUCUGUGUGCUCCUACAGCUGAGAGAAUGCUGGCAGGUGAAUCUGGCAGUUCUUGAGCCCAGGACUGAAAGGGGCAGACUUCACUUCAGCCAUCCCUGGCCUAACCAAAACACCUGGAAUUGCCCAGUCUUGGCUUAGGUAGAAUUGCCUUGUGCCUAUGCUUUGGUAGGAUUAGUGCUGGGCUAUAGCAUAUAAGGUUUGCAGCAAAGUUGUGCCCUGCCAUGGUACUGUUCUGCUGUCUGUGGGCCUGAGUCAAGUGCUUUUCAGCACUACCUUAUCAAAGCUGAUCUCCGGGGAAGUUGUGGUUUUGAUGAAACUGCAUUAUGUACUGGAAAGUUUUUGACCAGUUCUGUUUGAAUACAAAAUACUGACACAGCUGCUGAAGUAUGGACUGGUGCUGCUGGAGGAAGUUGUACUGAGGGGGUGGCAAACAUGCUUGUUAGCAGGAGAUGAUCUAAUAUAUUCCUAGUGAAAGUCUGAGGUAAAAGUCUAAAACACGAGUAAUUUUUUACCACAGCAUUUUCCAAAAUAAUUUGCUUAUGGCCCCUUUCUUAAGUAAAUUCUGCUGUCUGGAUGCCUCACCCUUCCACUCACACCCACAGGGAGUGAUGUGAAGAAAGGCACUACUCAAUACUUCUUCUUGUCUGAGGAUGUGCUUCUCCUUUUCCUCCUCAAGGACC
ensembl:lncRNA